UCACCCCUCAAGCCCUGUGCUUGGUGUUGGAGGGCGUUGGUCUUUGGCCAACCCCUCCCAAAGACAAUGACGGCGGCCUGUGGGACCCCCGGUACACUGAGCUUUUCACCGAGCACGUAUCGGACGAGGGUGCCCAGGACACGGUCUUUACCUAAACUUUCAAA
rnacentral:misc_RNA from 1 species